rnacentral:rRNA from 1 species
CACGGUGAGUAACACGUAUCCAACCUGCCGUCUACUCUUGGACAGCCUUCUGAAAGGAAGAUUAAUACAAGAUGGCAUCAUGAGUUCACAUGUUCACAUGAUUAAAGGUAUUCCGGUAGACGAUGGGGAUGCGUUCCAUUAGAUAGUAGGCGGGGUAACGGCCCACCUAGUCUUCGAUGGAUAGGGGUUCUGAGAGGAAGGUCCCCCGCAUUGGAACUGAGACACGGUCCAA